rnacentral:tRNA from 1 species
GGGCGGUUAGCUCAGUUGGUCAGAGUACUUGCUUGACAUGCAAGGGGUCACUGGUUCAAAUCCAGUACCGCCCACCA